rnacentral:rRNA from 1 species
GACGAACGCUGGCGGCGUGCCUAAUACAUGCAAGUAGAACGCUGAAGAGAGGAGCUUGCUCUUCUUGGAUGAGUUGCGAACGGGUGAGUAACGCGUAGGUAACCUGCCUUGUAGCGGGGGAUAACUAUUGGAAACGAUAGCUAAUACCGCAUAACAAUGGAUGACACAUGUCAUUUAUUUGAAAGGGGCAAUUGCUCCACUACAAGAUGGACCUGCGUUGUAUUAGCUAGUAGGUGAGGUAAUGGCUCACCUAGGCGACGAUACAUAGCCGACCAGAGAGGGUGAUCGGCCACACUGGGACUGAGACACGGCCCAGACUCCUACGGGAGGCAGCAGUAGGGAAUCUUCGGCAAUGGGGGCAACCCUGACCGAGCAACGCCGCGUGAGUGAAGAAGGUUUUCGGAUCGUAAAGCUCUGUUGUAAGUCAAGAACGGGUGUGAGAGUGGAAAGUUCACACUGUGACGGUAGCUUACCAGAAAGGGACGGCUAACUACGUGCCAGCAGCCGCGGUAAUACGUAGGUCCCGAGCGUUGUCCGGAUUUAUUGGGCGUAAAGCGAGCGCAGGCGGUUUGAUAAGUCUGAAGUUAAAGGCUGUGGCUCAACCAUAGUUCGCUUUGGAAACUGUCAAACUUGAGUGCAGAAGGGGAGAGUGGAAUUCCAUGUGUAGCGGUGAAAUGCGUAGAUAUAUGGAGGAACACCGGUGGCGAAAGCGGCUCUCUGGUCUGUAACUGACGCUGAGGCUCGAAAGCGUGGGGAGCGAACAGGAUUAGAUACCCUGGUAGUCCACGCCGUAAACGAUGAGUGCUAGGUGUUGGAUCCUUUCCGGGAUUCAGUGCCGCAGCUAACGCAUUAAGCACUCCGCCUGGGGAGUACGACCGCAAGGUUGAAACUCAAAGGAAUUGACGGGGGCCCGCACAAGCGGUGGAACAUGUGGUUUAAUUCGAAGCAACGCGAAGAACCUUACCAGGUCUUGACAUCCCGAUGCUAUUUCUAGAGAUAGAAAGUUACUUCGGUACAUCGGUGACAGGUGGUGCAUGGUUGUCGUCAGCUCGUGUCGUGAGAUGUUGGGUUAAGUCCCGCAACGAGCGCAACCCCUAUUGUUAGUUGCCAUCAUUCAGUUGGGCACUCUAGCGAGACUGCCGGUAAUAAACCGGAGGAAGGUGGGGAUGACGUCAAAUCAUCAUGCCCCUUAUGACCUGGGCUACACACGUGCUACAAUGGUUGGUACAACGAGUUGCGAGUCGGUGACGGCGAGCUAAUCUCUUAAAGCCAAUCUCAGUUCGGAUUGUAGGCUGCAACUCGCCUACAUGAAGUCGGAAUCGCUAGUAGUCGCGGAUCAGCACGCCGCGGUGAAUACGUUCCCGGGCCU